rnacentral:rRNA from 1 species
GCAAGUCGAGCGAGAAAGGUCUUCGGACUGAGUAGAGCGGCGGACGGGUGAGUAACGCGUGGGAAUCUAUCCAGUAGCGGGGGAUAACUUAGGGAAACUUAAGCUAAUACCGCAUACGCCCUAUGGGGGAAAGGAGGGGAUCUUCGGACCUUUCACUGUUGGAGGAGCCCGCGUUGGAUUAGCUAGAUGGUGGGGUAACGGCCUACCAUGGCGACGAUCCAUAGCUGGUCUGAGAGGAUGAUCAGCCACACUGGGACUGAGACACGGCCCAGACUCCUACGGGAGGCAGCAGUGGGGAAUAUUGCACAAUGGGGGAAACCCUGAUGCAGCCAUGCCGCGUGUGUGAAGAAGGCUCUAGGGUUGUAAAGCACUUUCAGCAGGGAGGAAAGGGUUGGCGUUAAUACCGUUGAUCUGUGACGUUACCUGCAGAAGAAGCACCGGCAAACUCCGUGCCAGCAGCCGCGGUAAUACGGAGGGUGCGAGCGUUAAUCGGAAUUACUGCGCGUAAAGCGCGCGUANGUAGUUCGUUAAGCCAGAUGUGAAAGCCCCGGGCUCAACCUGGGAACUGCAUUUGGAACUGGCGAACUGGAAUACA